GAGAUCAAAAGGCAAAAGGGUAUAAAUAAGACCCCCACACCAGACCCCAAACCCUAGCCGUCUGCCCUCGCCGGAGAAGACGAACCAGAAGCCGGCCGCCGCCACCCGCCGCCGCACCGGAGGGAUUUCCGACCGCCGAUCGAGGUAAAUUUCAUACCCCCGACUCAUUUUUCCACGCUGAUUUCCCCAGUGGCCAAAUCGGAGCCAAAAUCCCGGCCAAACGGCCAGAAAACACGACCGAAAGCCAGCCGCGCCGCCGCGCCUCUCCUCAGUUUUUGCCGCCGAUGAGGCCCUUCUCGGCCUCCGUUUAAUGCAAUUUUUAUACCACCGUGAUCACCAUUCUUUUCUCUACAGGUUAAUCGGAGCCGAAUCACCAAAACACGAACUUCACCGGAGAGUCGCCGCACCCGAGAGCACCGCCGCCGGUAAGCUUCGGUUUUCCGUAAAUUUUCGGCCCCCCGAGGGCCGUAGGGAUGUUUUAUCGCAGAAACCAAUGCGAGUGUGGCCGAAUUCGGCCGUAAACGGCCAACCCGAGGUGAACCGCCACCGCAAGCGGUGGCGCCGUCGCCGGAGCACGGCGGAGCCGCCGUGCCGGAGUUGCGAUAUUGGCUGAAAUGGGCUCUGGGCCUAAUUUUGGAUUUUUUGGAACACGUGCAGGUACCAGUAGUGCGUUUCAGUUCCCCGAAAAAAAUUCAGAGAAAAUUAGGGACAGCCUGUAGGCGCACUGUGAAGCCGUGUUCGGACCCCGAAACGUGUAAGGACCCCUCACCCUAUUUCCUAUCACGGUUUUAAAGUUCAAUAAAUGAUAAAACGGUAUUUCAUGAAUCAACGAAUGUGUGAAAUUGCUUAAGGUCGCU
rnacentral:lncRNA from 1 species